AAGAUCAAAAAACAAUCAGGGAUGCACGAUUUGCAACGCUGAUUGCGGAAACAAGGCAAAAACCGUCUUGUAAACGAGUAUCUUGAUCUUAAGCACCAUCGCAGCAAUCCUAGGCGUCUCGUUCUCAAAAAUUUUCCGGUUGCGAGCACUCCAAAUCUGAUAAACGGUGCAAGCAAGGGCCAUCUUCUUCGCUUUUUGCCUCCAACAUGAGCCACGAGCCUCCUUCUUCAGCCAUUUCAAAGCACUCUUGAGCGUAGUUGCAGCCCGAGGGAAGCCAAUCCAUUCCCGAAUAAUGCUCCAAAUGUUGUAAGUAAACGUGCAUCCGAAAAACAAAUGCACCACAGUUUCAGGCUCCGUACAAAAAAUGCAC
rnacentral:lncRNA from 1 species